UGUUGCUUUGAAUUAUUGUUAGUUCGCAUUGUUCAGUGCUGCUUCUCACAACAUAAAGUGUAACAAAUAAUCUCCAAUUGUGAUCUUCAAAAAAUAGUCGUUAUUGGAUGUAAUCGGAUAAAUGUAGCCUCGGUGUCAUUUCCAGAGUAAAUAAAAAAAAAUUAACAACAACAACAACAUUAUGAAUAACAGUAUCAAUUAUGAAUAACAGUAAGGCCUAGUUUUUGAAAUAGCACCUAAAAAUAGAUUUCCACUUCAUUUCCUUCCGAAACAACUAAAUUCUCUGAUAAUGAACAAGUUUAGCGUAAACUUUGAAUAACAUUUGGAAGAGAGACUACAUAAAUGUGCAACGGAAAUCUUGAAAAAAAAAAGACUUAGGGAUAAGUGCAUUUUUGAAAAUCAUUUUCAAAAGAUAUAGCUUUCUUUAUAAUAGAUGAUGGAACGUGAAUAGAUAACGAUUAUAAGGUGUGAUAUGACAGAUAUGCGUUUUAGAUUGUGAAUGCGGACAGUUGUGUAUGCAGAAGCCUUGGUAAAAUUGUGUACUGCCUCCAUAAUGCAGGAAGGUAAUGUGUGAUAUUGUCAAAUUACGUGAUGCGAUCAAUUGUGUGCUAAAACCCUUUAAGGCAGGAAGGUAAUUGUGUUUAAUAGUAUCACAUUACUGAGUUACAAGAUAUAUUUAUUACACAAUGAAUAGGUCUCAUUAAUUUACAAUCGUAAGAACAGUAUAUUUGCGAUCACAGAAAUUCUUGUGAUAUUGAUGAUAUACGUGUUUACCAUGUUCAGUUACUGUGUUUUUCUUUUUUUGUGGAAAAAAUACUAUAUAUAUGAACUUUUCUAAAAAUAAACCGAAUCUUAUUAAACAGGAAACGCAUUUAUCGUAACUGCACAUGUCAACGAACUUUUCAGUUACUCAAUUAUCUAUUGUUUUACUUUACCUGUCUGUCUGACAAGUGUUACGUUGGCGUUUACAUGCAGUGAAGAAGUAAUACAAAAAGUGACCUGAGUAUAUUAAUAUUACAUUUAACCUUAAAAGCAAAUCGAAGAUUUAAUUGUGUCAGUGUGCUAUACAUAUAUGCAGGAAUAAUUCAUAUAUCUUAGGUAAGCCUUCUUUUUUUCUUUUUUAAGUUAUCCAUUUCAAAGGACCUUUAACGUACAGGGCGGGCCUGUGGGUCUGUCCUGUGGUGGCAACAGCCAAUUUUAAAUAGUUCUAUCAAAAAGUGUUAUUUUCAACACAUUUUAACAUCUUGUCUAUGUUGUUAAAAUAUAUUUAAACAAACCAAAGACAAAAUAGGCGUUAAUGACCUUAA